GUUUCCACGGGACACCGAGAACCCCUGAGAGGAGAGAGCUAGUGGCGCUUACACGUCAGGAAGUUUCUCCUUCAUGAGAUGGAGCAACCACCUUUUAAGAAGAGGCGGCUGACGGAAAUGGGCAGUGACAUCGAGCCCAUGGAGGUGGACCUGCCUGGCAGCGACACAGAGCCCAUGGAGGUGGAUCUACCUCCGGAGGAUGAUAUGAUGGAGGUGGAUCCACCUCUGCUGGGGCAGACCAGCCACCACGCCACCGUCAGGCUGAGAAAGAGAUCGCGCCCCAGGGAUCGCCGGCGCGCCAGGACUCGUCCACCUCCAUCCAAACGGCCGCCUCGACGCCGGUGCUGAUGCUCCCAUCCCGUAAGUUUGCCCUUAUCCGGGAGAGCCCCAGCUCAGGGCCACCCCGUGGGCUCACACGGAGCCUCCAUUUCCUGGUCAUUCUUCUUUUCACAGCCAAGGCUCCUACGAGUCUGUCCUUCCCAUCCCCCUCCUUUGUCCUUCCCCAAGUCCUCUCAUAUCUUCUUCACCGAAUCCUGAGGAAGAGGGCAGGGCAGGGACUGCCAUCCUCCGAGCUGCUGUGCCGGCGCAGCGCGACGAGUCCAGCAGAGGGACCUUAACUGCCGGGGGCCUCGAACAUCACAGAGACACAAGGAUCCCGACCUCUCAUCUCGUCUUCACCGAAUCCUGAGGAAGAGAGCAGGGCGGGGACUGCCAUCCCCUGAGCUGCAGUGCGGGGGCAAUGGGAGUAGUCCGGCAGAGGAACCUCGACUCCUGGAAGCAUUGAACAUCACAGGGGCACAAGGAUCCCACGAGACUUCCAUGAGCCCGACCUUCCUGUCCCACAAACUCAUCCCUCUCUAGGGUGGGAGAAGGAGCCAGAAGUGACACAGGCAGCUGUUCUUGCGGAGAAGCAGAUUUCAGUUUGGAGAGGAAGAAGUGCUGAACUUCAGCAGGAAGAUCCAGCCCAGAUGCCUGGACUUUUUGUUCAAGAAUCAACAGUUAAUCAACAAUCAAUCAACAAUUUAAAAUAGAAAUGCAAAAUAAUAAAAAAGUAAAAAAAAAAAAAAAAAACACAACAUAAACAAGUUUUCUUUUUUAAAAAGAAAAAUAAUAAUUGUCUGUCUUUUUUUUUUUUUUUUUUUUAAUUUUAGAGUUUGUAUGCAGAUUCCCAUGUCCCCUUCUUGUCUCCCCCAUAUAGGAAUGUAUCCUGGUGCAAUACACACUGCCCUCAUUCCCACCCCACGAACCACUGACAGAACUGCACAGACCACGGUGUCCCCUUGCCCUGCCUGUCACCCUCUGCUAUGUGGAGGGGAUAGUUUACAUACACAUCAAGAAAAGAGUAAAGAGCCCAUUUUGACUGUAGAAAAGAUAGUCUGACAGGAUCAUACAGAUUAUGCAAAGUUUCUUAAUUACAUCCUGCCUGUCUGAAACUUAGCUUUCCAGAUAAACAAAACCUGUAAAUAGCUGGCAGUGUUACUACUUAAUUAGCUGUAAAAGAGCAGGAUCAAAGGACCUUUACUGAGAAAAAAUGAGCUAACACUGUAUAAGGAAUCAAGUUUUUAAUUCUGCAGCAGGAUACAUAUCUCUGAAGAAAUGUUUCAAAUGGCUGUUUUAUUUUCCUUUAACUCAUACAUUCUUCCAGAAUGAAACCUAUUUCCUUCACUUACAUUGGUUAAAAAUUAAGCCAUAACACUAAUAUGCGAAGGAACACAUUUUAAAUGGGAAACAUUCUGCAAAGAAAGGGCAAAAAGAGAGUAAAAGAGGAAAAAGAGAAGAAAAGAGGAAAAAGGGAGUAAAAAAGGAAAUAAGAGAGCAAAAGAGAAAAAAACAGAAGAAUAGAGGAAACGACAAGCCUGGAGAAGGCUCCAGGGAGACCUCAUUGCUGAAUUCCAGUACUUACAGAAAGCUUUUAAAGAGGAGGGAAAUCAACUUUUUACAAGAGUAGAUAGUGAUAGAACAAGGAGGAAUUAUUUUAAAUGAAAAGAGGGGAUAUUAGGUUAGAUGUCAGGGGGAAACUGUUCAGUGGAAGGUGGUGAGGUGCUGGAACAGGCUGCUCAGAGGAGCUGUGGAUGUCCCAUCCCUGGAGGCAUUCCAAGCCAGACUGAAUUGGGCCCUAGGUGACCUGAUCUAGUGCCUGAUUUAGUUGCUGACAACCCUGCCCACAGCAGGGGUUAGAACUAGAUGAUCUCUUUGGUCCCUUCCAACCCAAGCCAUUCUAUCAUUCUAUAUUUUUUCCCUAAAUUACUUUGCUAUUUAACUAUUUUUUGACAAAGCUGUGGCUCUGCUGUAAGGGACUUAGAUUUUCAGGAAAGGCUGGCGCUCACAGAUGCUUUUCUGUGUAAAGCUGAGGUAGGAUUUUUGAGGACAUACUUGAAGGAAGUAAAAAUGAAAUGGAAAUGAUGUAUUUAACUGUAACCAUCUGUGAAAGUAAACACCCUGGGGGUGGGUCUUCUACUUGUGGGCUGUCAACAAGUUAAAAAUACGCAGCUGAGUACCUGGGUUAUGCUCUGCCUCCAACCCUGUUCGGAGGCUUGUUAACAUACACCUAUCAACCUGAGUGACAACUGUACAACUCAGGAUCUGGUGCAGGAAUUUCAAAAGCAGUGUCUUGUGCUACCACAUUAGUCAUUAAAUGUCAAUUCUUUAGAUACUUGCUCAAAACAUGAAGGAAAUAGAGCAUGCCAAUUACUUCAGCUGAGAGAUACAAAUAAACUUACCUUAAGUUGACCUAUUUCUUUAAACUUGUAAACUUCGAAUUCCCAGAGUUCUGUGUUUUUGCCAAGAAUUUUCUGGCACUUUCUGGGAGGAAAACGAAAGGGGAGAGAACAAAAGUUCAUACACAGAAUAACACAAAUGUGACCGCAUUACUACAAGGAUUCCGUUUUUUUCCCUACCAGACUCUUUCGAAUUUCACUAAUUUUGGCAAGCAUUGGUUCAAGCAGUUUCAUCACAUUCAAAAGAACUUGACAGCUUACCAUGCACUCAUCCUUAUUGAUUAGGGUUGUAUUAGAGAUUUAAAAAUUUCACUCACAAAGUAAAAUUAAGCACUUAAAGAUAUACAUACACAUACAUACACAUACAUUCAUACUAAAAUACAAAUCUUGGGCAAUUUCUUAUCUUUUAGGUAACCAAAUCUGUCCUUUUGGUUCCACCCACAGAAUCACAAACUAUCAUCUGAUGGUCUCACAUACAACUGACACACUAAUAAGAUUAUCAACAUGUAAAGGAAACCUCAAUGUUGGAAAUUUAGUGUAAUUUUGAAAAAAUCACAGGUUACUUUCUAAAAAAUAUGUCUCAAUUUCAAUUAAACUUGAGAAAGAUUCCAAUAACUUUCAGGUUCCUACAGGCAAGGAAAUAAAGGACACUGUAAUAUGUCUGUAUGUUUUGAAACUUCAGAAACUCCACAACACACAGAAAACAACAGCACAAAAGACUUCAUAAUCAGUAAUUGCUCUCACAAUUUCUCACAAACACACUUCAGCCAGCAAAGAAAAUCUUUAAUAUGUUACCGAGCAGCCAGGUCAUGCUCUCCUUUCUCCACCAGGUGAUUUAUAUAGGCUAAGCCUAUGUCCUGAAGGGAAUAAAAAUAAGUAAUUAGUUAUAAAAGUUUGGAAAUCAAGUACUUUACUGCUACAGUAAGUACCAUUUCAGCUGCAGUCAGUCAUUAUGUCAAGCACCAGCACCUACAUGGAAAUUCUCAGUUCUACUUUAGAUGUUGGGCCCACAGAACAGAACAGUCAUUACAAAAUAUUCACCUAGAUACCCCAAGAACUCAAAUUAAGAUGAUCUUUUACAUCAUUUUCAUAAUCUUGUUGACACUAGGAAGACUGUACCACUCUGCUAUAUGCUAAAGAUUGUUCAAAACACACAGCUGAUCAUUCAGUGCUUGCAUUAGUUAUCUCAAAAAUAAGAACAUCAACCACUGUAUGAGAAAUCUUCUCUGUCAACACGAAGUUUGCAACCGACAAAAAUCUUCGUUGAGAAGAUAAGCCCUAGGGAUGCUUCAUAAAGUAAAGGAAUUACCGAUAAUUUUUCAGGAGAAUGAAAUAUAAUUGCACAUUAAUUUCAACUUCUCAAGCGUUUAUCAGACAUUUCAGCUGCAAAAUAAUUUGGUAGGCACUUAAUACUAGAAUUCUGUCAAACAGCUUGCCUUCUGUUGUGACCCGAACACUAGCGUUAAGGUCAACAUAGGCUAGUGUACCCACUGCAUAACUUAAGAGUCAUAUCACUCAAAACACAUUGUUUCAAACUACGAAGAGGGUUAUAAAAUAAGAAAGCCCUUGUUUUCUGCACAAAUAAGGGAAGGUCUAUCUCAGGCAUAACGUGAUUUUUUAAAUCAAGUUCAGACAUUACUGAGCAAAAGAGAAUAUGAAUGGUGGUAUCUAAUAGCUUCCAGUAGUUAAUCUGUUUUGAAGUUGGAAAAAAGAAAAACCGCAAUCAUACUCCAUAUUUUAGGUUCUCAUUCCUCUACAUGACCAAUCUUUGAUUUUCAACUUCACCAUUCUCAAGAAUGAAAAUUGCUGGCAGCUUCUCUUCCCUGUGUGUCAGUAUCCCAAUGAGCAGAGACAUCAAAAUAAGGAAAGGGUCUGUAGGACCUGCAGCUGUACAGAACUCUUGCACUCUGCUCAGGAGGUACAGAGGGGUGGUGAUUGUAAUUGCAGCUUAAAAACAACCCAUGACAACCACAACGCUUGUCAGGUGGUACAUGUGGGAUGCCACUGGUUUGAUCACUGACAGGCAUGAGAGCAUGACUAGUUUUAAACCCCUGUACCGCUAAGCCUUCACUUAGGGCUUGAUAUAAACUUUUUUUUUUUUUCAUUAACAGCUUCUGUGGGUUUCACAAUAACGCUCAACAACUAUGCUUGUAUAUGCCCACAGUGAAUUUCAUUCUAGGUGAGGAAGUUUUUGCAAAUCAAGAGAAAAGAAUAUAUAUUUUUUUUCCCUAACACAUUGUCAAGUUGACUCUCAAGAAAUCUCUGUAUCUUUUGCAAGGGUCACAAAGCAGCUAGAUCAUGCAAACUCUUGAUAGAUAAUCCAUCAGGUCCAUUAGGUCUUGACUCAACUUCUGGACAACAUAAGAAGAAAAGAAUUUUUAAGAUGUAUAGAUACUCUGUGUUCAUAUUAUAGAAAAGAUCUGGCUAAAAAUUAAACAUCUCUUUGAACACUUUGUAUCUAAAUGCAACAUAUUAAACAAGCAUCAUCAUUAACAAAAUAAUGUGUUUAUACUGAGGUCAAUUUAAGGAAAAAAAAGUGAAAAUUAGGGACGUUUCUGUGGCUGUUACAUUAUCUACCUCCCAUUUGUGUCUGUAACAUGAAUACCCUUUGUUUCUCUUUGAAGGAACUAUAAAGGUGGGAAAUAACUGCACAAGAGAAAAGGAACUUAACUAUGUAAAAUAAUGAGAAUUGCAAAGCAACAUGAGAGCUAGAUGUGAAACUGCAGCAGAAUUUCAGCAGCAUUUAAAAGGUCGUCCAAUUGCACCUUUGAAACUCCUGCCAAAACCCUGUCACACAUACAUGGUAAAAGUUAGAGAAAUGUGUCACCCCAUGCUCUAUCUCGAAUAUUGUAAUAAUGUGUGUUUCUUGAACAACAGUAAAUUUAACACAAAAGUAAAAGCAAACAAAAAACCUAUCAGCAGUCAGAGAAGUGAAAUUCUUUUUAAUGUCAAUAGCAGUUUUAUAAAAUCCGCAUCCUUUCAUGUUUCAUGCACUAACAUUCCUGUACUGCAGCUGAAACCAGGAAAUCGAAUGCUAGUCAGAGUGUGCCUAACAGCUAUUGUCUGGUGCGACACAGAACAGGGAAUGUAUUUGUAGCAUCUCAUAGUGCUCUAAAAGAAAUCAGAUAUUUUGUUUUGAAUAGAAGUUUUCAGACUUACCAAAAUCUUGUGCUUUUUUAUGGUUUUCUGACUGAUCUCAGCUGCCAUCAAAGCUUCCUAUAUUCAAAAAGUAGAAAACAGAUACUAGUCAUAUAUGCAAAAUUUCAAUACAAAAAGCUCUAGAACUGCAUAAAUCAACUUUUUAUUUAUUUAUUUAUUUAUUUAUUCCGAGCAGGGUGUUUGAAGCAGUAGAAUUUUUAAUGCCAUGGUUGAAUGAGCAGCUUUGAAUUCAUACUCAAACAAAAGCAGUCAACCAAAGAGAAAACUACUUUUGUUUCCAUCUGGGUUCACUCCACAUUACUGUAUUAGGAUCAGAUCUCAAGAUUACAACAAGAAAGACAAUGCAAUCCCAUUGGAUCAUUUUCAAAUGAGAACUCUUCCCUACCAAAACGUGAAAAAAAUCAUCAGUAUGGCAGUGGGGGAUGGGUAUACUUCUCCCUACCCCAAAAGCCUUCUCCAGUCAGUAUGAUUUAUAUUUAAGUGUCAUUUUUGGUUCUUUCCCCUACUUCAAAUGCACAGAAACAAAGCUGGCACUUGUACAAACAAAAUGAAACCUUUAACAUAUAUCCUAAAACACGUGCUAUCUACUACCUUGAAUAGUUUUCACAAAGACACAUGCACAGCUGUCAUUUGCAAAUUGCUGGAGUCUUCAGGGACCAGAUGCUGUGAUUUACAUAAACAGCAAAACUGCGCUCAUCAUAUGAGUUUGUUCUCCAGACGCAAAAGCAUCUGCAAACAUUUAAACAACCCUGCAUGAGGAGUACCAUGAUUCCAUGAUUGCAUUAACAAAAGGAGUAGGAGCUGAAUGGCACCUUUUUUUCUUAUAAUGGGCAUCCAACAAGCAGCAUAUAAACAAGCAUCUGCAAGCCACUUCAUGCAUGGUAACGCGUUCUAAAUCACUGACUGCAGGAAAUCAGAGUCCAGAACAGUGGGUGCAUGCUGAGAUUGUGUUUAAGCAUUUAAUAUUUAUUUAGAUGUUGAGAUACACCUGCUUAAAACUGCCAAUAUUUACAAAACAAAGCACCAAGCUCCUUUUUAUUUUAUUUAUUUAUUUCGUUUUUGAGUAUCCUUUCCCUCUUUGGUCAGGAUGGAUCAAGGGAAGUGUCCACACAGAUCAGUAGAUAGCUGUUCUGCUGAUUUAGAGCCAAGAAACAGCUUUAAUAAUUUUUAGUGACAGCUAACACAUUUCAUAUCUGAUACUGAUGGCAGUAUUCACAUUGUUUAGUUCAUCUAUCUCAUUUGAGUGCCAUUCAGAUGAGUCGCUCCAGUAGAAAGUCAACUCUCCAGAGAGAUGACACAGAGAUACAUGGCCAACACCUGCCCUCACAAUCAUUUAAAUAAUGACUUGAGGAACAGAAACUAUUCAGUUCAAAUGGUCUAGCUAAGUUCACAAUACUACCACAACUUCAAAAUCGGAAAAAGUGUGAAGGAAAGAAUGUUGUAAAAAUUACUUCAUAU